GCAUAGGUUACUGAAGACCAUUAUUCUAACCCGGAUCUUCAUGGCUACCAGUGCCAGAGAGACAGUCUGUGGUGCUCCCUCAUUGACGUCAGCCCGCCAGAAGUAAGUGUAGCACUACACGCCAAACCAGACAUAGAGAUGGUGGCAUGUCUGUUGUCCUGCAGACCUCCUGUCACCCCAGAAACUUGCGAUCUACACCUCUACGCUCAGACUGUCAUUACAAACCUGUAUUCAUUCCAGAAAGACUCUUAACACUUUUGAAAAUUACCAUUAAACUUGCAUCCUCA